rnacentral:rRNA from 1 species
GACAGAGGGGGCAAGCGUUGCUCGGAAUUACUGGGCGUAAAGGGCGCGUAGGCGGGCUGGCAAGUCGGUCGUGAAAUCCCUCGGCUCAACUGAGGAGCGUCGAUCGAAACUGCCGUUCUUGAGGGUUGCAGAGGAGACUGGAAUUCCCGGUGUAGCGGUGAAAUGUGUAGAGAUCGGGAGGAACACCGGUGGCGAAGGCGGUUCUCUGGGCCUGACCUGACGCUGAGGAGCGAAAGCGUGGGGAGCGAACAGG